UACAUACUCCCUCCGAUCCAUAUUAAUUGUCAAAAUAUUACAUGUAUCUAGACGCUUUUUAGGCAUAUAUACAUCCAUAUUUGGGCAAAUUUGAGACAAUUAAUAUGGAUCGGAGGUAGUACUUC
rfam:Brachypodium distachyon strain Bd21 chromosome 2, whole genome shotgun sequence.